rnacentral:rRNA from 1 species
GAUGAACGCUGGCGGCGUGCCUAAUACAUGCAAGUCGAGCGAACGGACGAGAAGCUUGCUUCUCUAAUGUUAGCGGCGGACGGGUGUGUAACACGUGUAUAACCUACCUAUAAGACUGGGAUAAUUUCGGGAAACCGUAGCUAAUACCGGAUAAUAUUUUGCACCGCAGGGUUCAAAGGUGAGAGACGGUCUUGCUGUCACGUAUAGAUGGAUCCGCGCUGCAUUAGCUAGUUGGUAAGGUAACAGCUUACCAAGGCUACGAUGCAUAGCCGACCUGAGAGAGUGAUCGGCCACCCUGGAACGGAAACACGGUCCAGACUCCUGCGGGAGGCCGCAGUAGGGAAUCUUCCGCAAUGGGCGAAAGCCUGACGGAGCAACGCGGAGUGAGUGAUGAAGGUCUUCGGAUCGUAAAACUCUCUUAUUAGGGAAGAACAUAUGUGUAAGUAACUGUGCACAUCUUGACGGUACCUAAUCAGAAAGCCACGGCUAACUACGUG